rnacentral:lncRNA from 1 species
UCGCAUCCAGGUAAGUUCUAUUCAGUAUUUUCGAUAUUUGCAGGUCCACUAAGCCCCAAAAACGGCUAGAAUACGUUUCCUUCAAGUGAGUUUAAGUGUGCACAAUUAGUUUUUUUUUAUUUUGUCAUUUUCUUUCCAAAAACAAUGGGUUUUGUGUUUGCUUUUUAUUUGUUUGCUUUUGUAUUUCUUUGCAUUUAUUUUUGGCCCUAGGGCUAGCUGAUGGACUCUUAUAAAGUCCCCCUGCAGCAGUUGUACGAUUUUUCACCCUUGAUUAUCAAUAAAGAACCG